rnacentral:rRNA from 1 species
UGGGGAAUAUUGCACAAUGGGCGCAAGCCUGAUGCAGCCAUGCCGCGUGUAUGAAGAAGGCCUUCGGGUUGUAAAGUACUUUCAGCGGGGAGGAAGGGAGUAAAGUUAAUACCUUUGCUCAUUGACGUUACCCGCAGAAGAAGCACCGGCUAACUCCGUGCCAGCAGCCGCGGUAAUACGGAGGGUGCAAGCGUUAAUCGGAAUUACUGGGCGUAAAGCGCACGCAGGCGGUUUGUUAAGUCAGAUGUGAAAUCCCCGGGCUCAACCUGGGAACUGCCUCUGAUACUGGCAAGCUUGAGUCUCGUAGAGGGGGGUAGAAUUCCAGGUGUAUCGGUGAAAUGCGUAGAGAUCUGGAGGAAUACCGGUGGCGAAGGCGGCCCCCUGGACGAAGACUGACGCUCAGGUGCGAAAGCGUGGGGAGCAAACAGG